rnacentral:rRNA from 1 species
AUGCCGAAGCAUAUGCCGAAGGAAGGCGUCGCCGGCGACGGCUCCAAGACCGCUGGGCAGAGCUCGGCUGAGGACACCCGUGCGGCGGACGCGCUCGCGCUGCGAGGCAGGCCGGGAGGUGAGCUGGGUGCGCCACGCUCCGUGCGAGACGUGGGCAUGUCCAGUACCUCCUUCCCUCUCCUCACGCGGACCAACUACCCCAGUUGGUCCGUCAUGACGAAAGUCAUCAUGGAGGCGCGGCAUAUGUGGAAAGCCGUGGAAACCGACGAUGUCGAGUACGAGGAGGACCGGCUGGCGAUGGAAGCGAUCUUGCGCUCCGUCCCAGAGGAGAUGGUGCUCACCCUUAGCGCCAAGGAGACGGCCAAGGAAGCAUGGGAGACCAUCAAGACUCUGCGCAUCGGCGUGGAGCGCGUACGGGAGUCGAAGGCCCAGACCUUGCGCCUCCAGUACGAGGAAAUCCGGUUCAAGGCCGGUGCACAAGUCGACGACUUCGCCUUGUGGCUGCAAGGUCUCGUCAACAAGCUCGCAACGCUCGGAGAUCCCAUCGACAACAAGAUGGAGAUUCUGAAGUUCCUCCGCGUCGUCCCCAGGCAGUACAAGCAACUGGCCUGGUCCAUCGAGAGUUUGGUGGAUCUCUCCACCAUGACGAUCGAGGAGCUGGUAGGGCGGCUGAAGGUUGUCGAGGAGCGCGGCGACGAAGCCGACAACCGUGCUGGCGGCGAACUACUGCUCACCAAGGAGCAGUGGGAUGCGCAGCUUUAG